rnacentral:rRNA from 1 species
ACGAACGCUGGCGGCGUGCUUAACACAUGCAAGUCGAACGAUGACCCAGGAGCUUGCUCUUGGUGAUUAGUGGCGAACGGGUGAGUAACACGUGAGUAACCUGCCCUUGACUCUGGGAUAACCUCCGGAAACGGAAGCUAAUACCGGAUACGACGUACGGAGGCAUCUCCUGUACGUGGAAAGAAUUUCGGUCAAGGAUGGACUCGCGGCCUAUCAGGUAGUUGGUGAGGUAAAGGCCCACCAAGCCUACGACGGGUAGCCG